rnacentral:snoRNA from 12 species
CCCUCCUACAAAGGCGUGUCUGUGGUUGCCUGUCUUUGGACACGUAAGAAUUGGAGGCAGAGAAAUGUGGAUUUGGAGGAAUCUGGAGCCUGCUUGCUCCCCGCAGGCUCAAGAUCACCCAUCCCAUAUAG